UCCAGUUUGUUCUCUUGUUUGAUUUAAAUCCAAUACUUGUUCCAGUUUUCUGUGAGAAUAUUUAUGAAUACUUUAUAUUAUUUGCAGUAAAUUGAUAGGCCUAGGUUUGUUAUAAUUUCCCAGAUCUGCUUUAUCUUCUUAUGUAUCUACACUAUGCAUUUUUCCAGCUUUCUACUAUCUGUCCUGUUUGUGUGCAGUCAGAGAAUAUCCUGAUGAGUAGCUUGUAUACUGGUACUCUUUUUUCAUUUAGGAAUUCCAACACUAUCAUUCAUCAAUUUGUUGUGAUUUUUGAAGAUGAUAAUACAGUAUUGUCUAUACUAAAAAUCAAUAAAAGUAACAUUAUAUUGAUAUAAAGAAUAGAAAUUUUACAAACUGUAAUACAUAUGUUUUCAGAAAAAU
rnacentral:lncRNA from 1 species